CGCUGCAGCGCUGUGAGCCUGGGGCCCAAGGGGCGGGUAGUUCCCGUGCUUUGGCCUCACUCACACGCUAUCGCGAAUCACUUCCCGAUAGGUCACCCAUCCUUCCACUACUCCAGCUCAAGCACGCUUAACUCUGGAGUUCUUUCAGGAUGUGCUCCGGGUUGUUACAAUUUCAGCAUGGGAAAAGGUCGGGUGGUGAUUGCAGGGUCAGUAAACAAUGAUUUCGAGCCUUUGGAAAAUUAACGGACCGACCGUCAGACGGGAUGGGGCCCACGGGCCGAGAGAGCGGGCGUGGGUGGCCUAUUAGCCGUGGGCGGGUCGGGACGUUACAAGUGGUAUCAGAGCUGGUUAGCCGUCUCAGUUCCGACCUGAGAGGCGUCUUGAGACCUGUCGGGGGCGCAACGAGGACGUUGCGUUCUUUGAGAGGGGGUGAAUUGUAACAUCCCGAGUUGUGAUAUGUGAAAAAGGCUUAAGAGAAUUGAUUUGGCUACCUAUGUCACCAAAGUUGACUUACCUUUUCCGGAACACAUCCUGAAAGAAUUCCAGAGUUAAGCGUGCUUGAGCUGGAGUAGUGGAAGGAUGGGUGACCUAUCGGGAAGUGAUUCGCGAUAGCGUGCGAGUGAGGCCAAAGCAUGGGAAAAGGUCGGGUGGUGAUUGCAGGGUCAGUAAACAAUGAUUUCGAGCCUUUGGAAAAUUAACGGACCGACCGUCAGACGGGAUGGGGCCCACGGGCCGAGAGAGCGGGCGUGGGUGGCCCAUUAGCCGUGGGCGGGUCGGGGCGUUAUAGUGAUACCCUCCCAAGUACAACAAUCGCUGCUAUUCCGCCAUGAUUCCGUUUUCGGAUGACGCUUUACUAUAUCAUCAUCAAAAUAACAAUCAUAAGCAAAGGAAGAGUUUAGAACCUCAAACUCGUUCUUCAACAGAAGAAGUGCAUCCCUUUGAUCCGGACGACACAAGUGCGUAGUUGGAACCGCAGACACGUCCCCAUAACUGUAGCCGAAUAAAAAAAGUAUAGAAAGAGUAAGAGAAAUGGUACUCGUUAAGUUCCAAAAGCCUUUCAUUCUUCUUUAAGCUUAUUUAACUUUCUUGAAUAUCAAAAACUGAAAGAGCAAAAAGAAAAGGGAAAUUGGUGAUGAGUAACAUGCUUCCAUGGCCAUUUCUUUAUAUACACAAUAAUAGACUCUGUAUUUACUCCACACAAAACAAAAUCCACAGAGAAAAAUACAUUAUUCGUCACGUCGAAAGCAAAAUCUUUGUGUCGGAUAGUCAAUUUUCUACACAUAUUGGUCCCCUACACUAAUUACAUGAAUUUUCAAAAAAAAAAGAAUUGUCUAAACCAAAGAAGACGUAAUUUAGGUUUAUAUUUGGAUUUAAACUAAGAGCACCCGCAAUGGGAAUCUUUAAGGAUGAGUCCUUAGGAAAAAAAUAAUUAAAUAAUCGGUGAAUCCCACCAAAAGUUAAGGAUUCAAUCUUUAAAAUUCCUAAAUAAGGACUCUUUUUUAGUGAAUCCUUGCACUAUUUGCGGGUCCCGACGACAUGUGGCGAUUCGCGAUUGGUUGAUAUUUAUUUUUUUUUAUCUAAAAAAAUAAAAUAAAUAAUAAUACUUAAAAAAUCAAAAUAUAUUUUUUCUAAAGAUUCGCCUUUGAGUAACACUAUUGUGGGUGCUCUAACGUAUACUACGACCCAUGCAUAUUGACCCAAAAGUACUAACGUUUACGAUUACGAGACCCAUGCAUAUUUGCAUAUAAUGUAGUCUUUCGAUUUGAUAGUACAAGUUUUAUCUUUUUUACUUAUUCUAUUUAAAAAUUCAAGAUUUUAUGACAUUCCUUGCUUUAAAAAAAGAACUAAUUUAACUACUAAACUAGCGUAAUUUUGAUAGAAUUUCAAAAUAAGAAUCAUGCAUCUCCUAUAUUAAUAAGAAGAAAACAAACAUCAACCUUUUCAAAAAAAAUCAACGGCGAACGGUCUUAUUUUUAUUUUUGGUUUAUUCCUCGUGACUUCCAAAAUGAAAAAUAUAUGCAAAAUGACAAAAAGAUUAAACUCUUUACUAAGAAUCAAUCAAAAUGAACAAAAAUAUCAAUCUGCAUGAGAACAUUCUUCAUAACAGAAAAAUCAACUCUUCGUCGUGAAUGUACCGGCGAUCGAGCCAUAUGGCCCAUAUCAUAGUGAGUACAUUCUUCAACUAAUAUUCCUCAGGGCGAGAUCGUCAGGAAGAAACCAAGAUUUUACUCGAUCGCUUUCUUUUUGUUUCUUCAAUAUAUGGCUGUAGUAACCAAAAACAAAUAAAUAAAUGUUGAUGAACCAAUCAGUUUCCGCAUUUUUUUCUUUCUCACGUCAAUAAUAACAAGUUUUGGUGAUAAUCAUCUCACUUUCAUUAGAUAAAAUAUACAGAAAAGAGACAACUAGUGAUGAGAAACCAAAACUUCCAUACGGAAGAGGCUCGUUCAGAUUUUCUUAUUAUGUUUUUCCCCACUUUCUAGAUUAAUGUAAUUUUGUAAUAUACAUUAUUAAUCGUUUCAUAUAUAGUUUCAAGCAACCUACGAGAGACUUCCAAGUCCACAAGAAGGUUAGGGGAAUCAUCUACCUUCAUCCAUGAACCAUCUUCACCACGCGGUUGAACCACGAAGCUGACUCCUUUCACGUCAGAAUCUACCACCAGCUCCGAAACGUAAUAGGCUGGUACGUGAGACACUCCUAGGAACACUCUCUCGCUUCUUGGUUUCUCCAGAACCUUUCUUGAUCUUAGUACAUCAGUUGACUUCACAUUCUCUGCAUACACAUUGUACACUGGGAGAACAGAGUCUUCAAGCUGUGUCUGUCUCCAUUCUAGCUUAACCUUAAGGAUCCUAGAACCGGAUUUACCCAGUACAAGCUCUAAGUUAUGAGCCUCGAUUACCCAUGAUGUCGCUGGAGGUAAGGAAACGAGGUUUUGCUGGAGUAGCUGAACAUGAUGAUCUUUGAUUGAGAUGUGAUCCAUGAUUCCCUCCUCCGUUAUAAGAUGCCUCUCUAGUACUAAACAAAUUCAUGUGCUCACCGUUAUACGUUUGCAAACAAAUAGUGAGCUGAAUGAUAUCAGUGUUGUCUUCCUUGAACUCUAGGAUUGGCUAACAUUAAUAACACAACAAAGGCACCCAUCAGAUGAGAGAAGAGACAAAAUAUUAUAUGCGCAGUUAAAGCGAGGACGAUAAGAUGGUUGAACCUGAAGACUUUGGCAAGAAAUGUUGUACCAUGGAGCAUCAGAUAACUGGCGACCCUCGAGUGAAACAUGGUAACCAAAGCUCUGGAUAAACGAGAAAAGAUAUUUUCAGAACAUAACUUAACAUAAAUCAUCGCCAAGACAGUCGAUGUAUACUUUACCUGAUUGAAGUCAGAGUAAAAAGGCAAGACUUGUGGAUAUGUUUGGACUACUCCCCAUGACUUCUCAACAAGUGACCACCAUCUGAAGGGAAAACGAAUGAACGAUAAUAAGAUGACAAAGAAAUGCCAAUUUAUUUUACAAGCAAACAGACAAAAGAAGUAAUACUUAUUCUGAGCUGUAUGAAAAUUAGGAGGCUGUGCAGUCUCAUAUACCCAUCCAGGAGCGAAAAUGGCAGCUGAUACAUUGUUUCUCUUCAGCAAAUCAAGAGCAGUAUUAACCUAUAAUAUAUAGAUUAAUGAGACAAUGAUUGAAUCUUUAAGCUUCUGAGAUUUCAGAUUGUUGAUUUGGAACCAUAUCUUUGAGCAUCUACUCAAUUGAGUUGAAUUGUGUUGUUGUUGUACAGGGAAGAAGUUGUAGAGAUUAGAUUGUGGAGAAGCUAUGGUAGAGCAAUGGUUGGAUCUGAGAAGAGAGCUCAGCUCAUGGAGAUUGGAGAAACUGUUAUUAUUCUUACUCACUAGGUUUCAAGUUAGAGUAAUGCUUUUUUUUUUUGUGUUUACUUAUCUUAUUUAGGGUACAUUGGUAGCAAAGCAGAUUGGUGAAAGAAACUCUUGUAGUAAUCUGACAGACAUAUCAACAUGUACUUUUGUCAAGUGUUUAAUGUAUUAUCGUUUGUGUAUCAAUGCCUGCAGUUCCAAAUAGAGUUUUUUUCUCCUUUUUUGUUAUCAGCAAUUAGUCUUUUGCGUAAUCAGGUCUCAAAGUUCUCUUUCCAGGACAAUGUACAUCAGAGACAUUCAUGUUCUUCCAUAAUUUACGUUUGGAAGACCAAACCCACCAAGCUAUUGUUUGGCUGUUUGCUUAUAUGACUUUGCAUCAAUCUUUAUCGUGUUGAAGCUCACGCAUCUUCUUCUGAAGAAGAUUGUUUCUGUAGAUUAAUAAAGAAGGGAACAGAAUGGGGGCAAGGCAUGGGCCUAUUCAUCAUUUGUGUUGGCUUGAUCUUUUCAUUGCUACUUACAUGAUUGGCUCGUGGGUUCGAGUCCAAGCUCGUAGGUCACACACAUCAUGAUCAUGUAGUGGCUUAUCUUUGAGAUUUUGGUAUUGAGCUUUAAGUAUAAUGUUGAAAAAUCAAAGGAUAACGUACCAGAGGGAUUGUGAAAGUGACCAAUCAGUUGGCUGUUUCUUUUUUGAGAUCGUGGACACCAAAACAAAGAGAAGCAAGACUUGGAUUCGAUUAAAAAGUCAGUCAAGAAAAAUAUAAAAAGAAAGAUCCAAGAGGAAUUUUCUUAUAAAAUGGAUAAUGAUCGUUAAACCCAAAUUUUAGUUGAGUAUAUAUAUAUUUAGUUAUUGUUAAUUGUUAAUUUAGAUUAUACAUAUUUAAUCAAACAAUCAAAGGUUGAAAUAGAAACAAGAGAGUGUGGACAUGAAGAAAACAAGACCCCUUUAGGCCUUUACUAGCCAUUUCUCUUCCUCUUCUACUCAUCAUUCAUUAUCAAUGAGAAUAUUACCAAUCACAAGAUAAAUCAACGCAAACUUUUUUUUUUUUUUUUUGUAUUGUCACAUUCGAAAAUCAUAAGCUUAAAACCUUUUGAACUUUGUAUAUACACAAAAUGGAAUCUUGAUAAUUAUAUUUGCAAAGUUUAUAGUUUCUAUGAGUUAAUGUGUCUCAUUGAUAUGAACAAUCGAAAUAUCCAUAUAUAAUAUGUACAUCCUUUUCUAAAGCGCUGUGUAACUGUGUUGAUUAUAGCUUUUAUCUGGAUCAUCUGUUCAUUGCUCAUCUCACGUCUAAACAGUUGAUGUUAAGAUUCACAAGAGGGGAAAAGACGACACAUCUUUGACUGUGCUUGUAAUUUUCAGCGUAAGAAACAUAGUUGUUGUUCAAUUACAGAGAAACAAAGAAAUUUGCUAAAACGUAAAAAAAAAUAGAGAUAGAGAAAAAACACACCAAGCUAAACCAGAAACGAUAUCCCAAAUCUUAUUUGAAAUUAUGAUAGACAUAGUAAUUGCUUCGGAUUUCAUCUUUCAGAUUCCGCAGGUAGCUUAUAAAAGACCUGUACCAAAAAAAGAAAAGGUUAACUCAGGUGAUUUCACUAUUAAUAUUUUUGUUUCUUCAAAUGUUUGCUAACAAGUUGACUUAAAACUCUAGAAUAUAUUACCUCUUUAAUGAGUUGUGCUGCUGCUGAUUCUGCGCUUGUUUCGGGCAAAAGGGUCGAUGAACCACUCUGGUUUGUAGGAAAAGAGUAUGUAACCAAUCACCCAUCCAAAGGCAAUACCAGGUAUGACUCCUAUUACAGCUGCUAUCCAACUCAACACCUCUUCUUCUUCUUCAUCCUCUGAUUCCGGUGUUUCAUGCGGUGUUGGCAUGUGGAUAUCUCUGCAAUCUUCGUCAAGAGAAGGGCCAAAAAGUCCCGGAUUAUCCUCAAAGUAAGUGCAGUCCAGCCUUUGAAACUGAGUGCCUCCUGGUACUAGACCUGUAAGCUUGUUAUGAGAGAAGUUCAUGUACGAAAGGAACGAGAGGCUCCCUAGCUCUUGCGGAAUUUCUCCUGAAAGCUUGUUUUGGGAAACGUCUAGUGACUCAAGAGCCGUCAGGUUUCCAAGAGAUGAAGGGAUGUGGCCAGUGAAAGCAUUGUUCGACAAGUUAAGCAUAAGAAGCCCUUUUAAUAGACCGAUGGACCUUGGGAUCUCUCCUUCAAAUUUGUUUCCUGAAAAGUCAAGUGCUGUGUAGAUCUUUAGGAUACGUACAAACUCCAUCUCUAUACCUUUAUUCAUCAACACCAUUGAAUCAUGGUAAUAGGAACCUCCCAUGUAAUUGUCAAACCGCUGAUCAUAAUUGUCCCCCAAUGAUGACAUAGCACUCCACUUCACAAAGUAGUCUGAUGACAAAGAUCCAUUGAAGUGAUUGUGCGAUAUGUCGAUGAUUUGCAACUUAGGGAACGAAGUUUGAAGUACCGGUCCAUGGAACGCAUUGGAGCGUAAUACAAGAAUUUUUAACUCUCGUAGAGAAUGCAACCAGAACGGAAACGUAUCAUUGAAAAUGUUGCUUUCCACGUUCAGAACUUCAAGACUAGAGAAAUGGAUCAAAGAUCUUGGAAGCCUUCCUGUCAGUUGGUUAUGACCAACGUCAAGCGUUCUUAAGCUUUCAAAUAUAGUCUCCGGAAGACCUCCAUGAAGACGAUUUUGACGAAGGUUUAGAUAUAAAAGAGAACGUUUGAGAUUUCCCAGACAACGAGGGAUUAAACCGACGAAUUUGUUGUUCGAUAAAUCAAGAGUGUAUACAUAGCGCAAAUCACAUAUGAAAGAGGGAAUCUUUCCCGUGAAAUUGUUGUUGGAGGCAAUCAAGUUUACGAUAGAAACUGUUGUUGAGUUUCCGAAGCCAGUGAAAGUGUUGUUGGAAAGAUUCAGGUAAGCCAGCUUUGGUAGCGUCCAUAACCAGCCAGGCACUUGACCUUUGAUUUUAUUGUUGGAAAUGUCUAGCCACUCCAUAUGUUGGUUUCUUGGAAAUUCUGGAAACUCGGUGAUACCGCAGCCUGACAAUUCCAAAUAACGCAGCAAAGGGGGACCUGAAACUGGACUCUUGUUUGUGGCAGAAACAGGGUUGCCUGAGAGAACCAACCUCUCGAGCCUCUUAAAAUAUGACAAGAAAUCAUUCAAGUCAAUGGCAGUGGUCGUGUUCAAAUAGGAUAGGUCAAGAUCUUCCAGCCUCUUGAGAUGCGAGAAGAUGUUAAAGUCCACUGGAGCUUGUGUCUUGUAGUGGGAAAGGUCAAGUUGGACAAGGUUGGUAAAUUUGGAUAUCGCGGCCGGGAUUGGCCCUCUCAAGUUGUUAUUGCCAACGUCUAACUUUCGUAGCUGAGGUGGUGAAGAUAUAUUCCCAAACUCAAGAAUACCGUUUAAUUGAUUAUCAGACAAAUCAACAAUAUCCAUAGAAGGAAUGGUGAAGAGAGAAGAAGGCAGGGUCCCAGUGAAAGCGUUGCUACUUGCUAAAAAAAUCGUCAAUUUGGAUAGUGAAGUGAUGUUAUGAGGAAUUGUUCCUGUGAACUGAUUGUAAUAGAGUCCUAAAUAUGACAACUUUGUCAAAUUCAGUAGUGCAAUGGGAAAGCUUCCAUUGAGCCUAUUGAAACCAACACGUAAGGUGGUCAACUGGUUUAGAUUGCCAAAAGAAGAUGGGAUUUCACCAACAAUAUUGUUCCUAGAAAGGUCAAGAUAAGUGAGGUUAUAAAGAUUUCCAAUAGAAGAUGGAAUCUUACCCGAAAUUUGAUUAAAAUAAAGGUUAAGAUAGGUGAGAUGAGAAAGAUUUCCAAUCAAAGAUGGAAUCGGACCAGAAAGAAGGUUCCAUGAAAGAUCGAGAUAGGUGAGAUAAGAAAGGUUUCCAAUAGAAGAUGGAAUCUGACUCAAAAAAGGAUUAACAGAAAGAUCAAGAUAGGUGAGAUGAGAAAGGUUUCCAAUUGAAGAUGGAAUCUGACCAGAAAAACGAUUAGAUGAAAGAUCGAGAAAGGUGAGAUAAGAAAGGUCUACAAUCGAAGAAGGAAUGAACUCGCUGAAACCAUUUUGCGAAAGGUCCAGAGAGGUGAGAUGAGAAAGGUUUCUGAUAGAAGACAUGAUUGGACCACUAAAAUAAUUAUUUGAAAGGAGUAGAGUAGUUAGAGAAUGAAGGUUUCGAAGACUGCUUUUAGAAUGAAACUUGCCACCUAGGUUGCUGCAACUAAGGUUUAGCUCGAUCACUUCACCAGACUUGACGUUGCACGUGAUACCCUCCCAAUUACAGCAGUCGCUGUUAUUCACCCAUGACUCUGUCUUCCGAUGAGGCGUAAUACCACGAUCAAUACAAUUAUAAUAAGUAAAGGAAGAGUUUAGAACCUCAAACUCGUUCUUUAAUUGGAGAAGUGCAUCCCUUUGAUCUGGACGACACAAGUGCGUAGUUGGAACCGCAGACACGUCCUCAUAACUGUAGCCGAAUAAAAAAAGUAUAGAAAGAGUAAGAGAAAUGGUACUCGUUAAGUUCCAAAAGCCUUUCAUUCUUCUUUAAGCUUAUUUAACUUUCUU
rnacentral:lncRNA from 1 species